GUAGGGAAUAUUGGGCAAUGGAGGCAACUCUGACCCAGCCAUGCCGCGUGCAGGAUGACGGCCCUCUGGGUUGUAAACUGCUUUUAUACGGGAAGAAAAAAUACUACGUGUAGUAUACUGACGGUACCGUAAGAAUAAGGAUCGGCUAACUCCGUGCCAGCAGCCGCGGUAAUACGGAGGAUCCAAGCGUUGUCCGGAUUUAUUGGGUUUAAAGGGUGCGUAGGCGGAUCUUUAAGUCAGUGGUGAAAGCCUGCAGCUUAACUGUAGAAUUGCCAUUGAAACUGAAGAGCUUGAAUGUGGUUAAAGUAGGCGGAAUGUAUCAUGUAGCGGUGAAAUGCUUAGAUAUGAUACAGAACACCGAUAGCGAAGGCAGCUUGCUGAACCAUUAUUGACGCUGAGGCACGAAAGCGUGGGGAGCGAACAGGAUUAGAUACCCCGGUAGUCC
rnacentral:rRNA from 1 species